rnacentral:rRNA from 1 species
GACGAACGCUGGCGGCGUGCCUAAUACAUGCAAGUCGAACGAGAGCGACCGGUGCUUGCCCUGGUCAAUCUAGUGGCGAACGGGUGAGUAACACGUGGGUAACCUGCCCAUCAGAGGGGGAUAACAUCCGGAAACGGAUGCUAAAACCGCAUAGGUCUUCGAACCGCAUGGUUCGAAGAGGAAAAGAGGCGCAAGCUUCUGCUGGUGGAUGGACCCGCGGUGCAUUAGCUAGUUGGUGAGGUAACGGCUCACCAAGGCCGUGAUGCAUAGCCGACCUGAGAGGGUGAUCGGCCACAUUGGGACUGAGACACGGCCCAAACUCCUACGGGAGGCAGCAGUAGGGAAUAUUCGGCAAUGGGCGCAAGUCUGACGGAGCAACGCCGCGUGAGUGAAGAAGGUUUUCGGAUCGUAAAACUCUGUUAUUAGGGAAGAACAAGUGCUAGAGUAACUGUUAGCGUCUUGACGGUAUCUAAACAAAAAGCCACGGCUAACUACGUG